rnacentral:rRNA from 6 species
AAAUUGAAGAGUUUGAUCAUGGCUCAGAUUGAACGCUGGCGGCAGGCCUAACACAUGCAAGUCGAGCGGUAGCACAGAGAGCUUGCUCUCGGGUGACGAGCGGCGGACGGGUGAGUAAUGUCUGGGAAACUGCCUGAUGGAGGGGGAUAACUACUGGAAACGGUAGCUAAUACCGCAUAACGUCGCAAGACCAAAGUGGGGGACCUUCGGGCCUCAUGCCAUCAGAUGUGCCCAGAUGGGAUUAGCUAGUAGGUGGGGUAACGGCUCACCUAGGCGACGAUCCCUAGCUGGUCUGAGAGGAUGACCAGCCACACUGGAACUGAGACACGGUCCAGACUCCUACGGGAGGCAGCAGUGGGGAAUAUUGCACAAUGGGCGCAAGCCUGAUGCAGCCAUGCCGCGUGUGUGAAGAAGGCCUUCGGGUUGUAAAGCACUUUCAGCGGGGAGGAAGGCGAUAAGGUUAAUAACCUUGUCGAUUGACGUUACCCGCAGAAGAAGCACCGGCUAACUCCGUGCCAGCAGCCGCGGUAAUACGGAGGGUGCAAGCGUUAAUCGGAAUUACUGGGCGUAAAGCGCACGCAGGCGGUCUGUCAAGUCGGAUGUGAAAUCCCCGGGCUCAACCUGGGAACUGCAUUCGAAACUGGCAGGCUAGAGUCUUGUAGAGGGGGGUAGAAUUCCAGGUGUAGCGGUGAAAUGCGUAGAGAUCUGGAGGAAUACCGGUGGCGAAGGCGGCCCCCUGGACAAAGACUGACGCUCAGGUGCGAAAGCGUGGGGAGCAAACAGGAUUAGAUACCCUGGUAGUCCACGCCGUAAACGAUGUCGAUUUGGAGGUUGUGCCCUUGAGGCGUGGCUUCCGGAGCUAACGCGUUAAAUCGACCGCCUGGGGAGUACGGCCGCAAGGUUAAAACUCAAAUGAAUUGACGGGGGCCCGCACAAGCGGUGGAGCAUGUGGUUUAAUUCGAUGCAACGCGAAGAACCUUACCUGGUCUUGACAUCCACAGAACUUAGCAGAGAUGCUUUGGUGCCUUCGGGAACUGUGAGACAGGUGCUGCAUGGCUGUCGUCAGCUCGUGUUGUGAAAUGUUGGGUUAAGUCCCGCAACGAGCGCAACCCUUAUCCUUUGUUGCCAGCGGUUAGGCCGGGAACUCAAAGGAGACUGCCAGUGAUAAACUGGAGGAAGGUGGGGAUGACGUCAAGUCAUCAUGGCCCUUACGACCAGGGCUACACACGUGCUACAAUGGCAUAUACAAAGAGAAGCGACCUCGCGAGAGCAAGCGGACCUCAUAAAGUAUGUCGUAGUCCGGAUUGGAGUCUGCAACUCGACUCCAUGAAGUCGGAAUCGCUAGUAAUCGUAGAUCAGAAUGCUACGGUGAAUACGUUCCCGGGCCUUGUACACACCGCCCGUCACACCAUGGGAGUGGGUUGCAAAAGAAGUAGGUAGCUUAACCUUCGGGAGGGCGCUUACCACUUUGUGAUUCAUGACUGGGGUGAAGUCGUAACAAGGUAACCGUAGGGGAACCUGCGGUUGGAUCACCUCCUUA